rnacentral:rRNA from 1 species
UACGAAGGGGGCUAGCGUUGCUCGGAAUCACUGGGCGUAAAGGGCGCGUAGGCGGAUCUUUAAGUCGGGGGUGAAAGCCUGAGGCUCAACCUCAGAAUUGCCUUCGAUACUGGAGAUCUUGAGACCGGAAGAGGUGAGUGGAACUGCGAGUGUAGAGGUGAAAUUCGUAGAUAUUCGCAAGAACACCAGUGGCGAAGGCGGCUCUCUGGGACGGUACUGACGCUGAGACGCGAAAGCGUGGGGAGCGAACAGG